UUAUUUUUUAUUUAUUUUCAAAAACCGAAGGGAAACCCUACCUCCUCUUCUUUAUCUCUAUGAAACGUUGUACGUGAUAGCUCAUAUGUGUGAAGGUUUUUUCAUGAAAAUGUCCAUAGACAAAGUUUAUGAUUUUUGGUUGAUAACAUGUCACACAAGACAACAUUGUGCAGGUUUUAUAUUUUUUGAUUUUUUUAAUUAAUGGUGCUCAUUUGACUCGAUCGUGCUAGCUAGGUUUUUUUUGUAAAUGAUCGUAUACCAACUUUAGUAUUUUUCCUCGUUAGUGUGGGGAGGACUAGGAUAGAAUUUGGGCUUAGGGUAGAAGAAUAGGAAAAAAGAUUCUGGGCCGCUGGAUCAGGCAUGUACGCCACGGAUUCGAGUGGAUGGAUCUGUGCUGAAAACUACACAAUUCUGUGCUAACAUGUCCCUUUGCUCCCCACUAAUUUGCUCCAGGUCCUUCUGCUUCAAAACGACUCUCGUUGUCGGUCGCUACCCGUCCCCCUCUCUGGUCGACGGUGGCGGCUGCCCAGAUCGGCAGAUCCGUUGCUUCCCUGGUCGACAACGGACACGGUCUCCUCCUCCCUGGUGGCCACAGGCGCCCCGCCCGGUCAGCUGCACAUUCUUAGAUCCGGAGGCCAAUCUAGUAGAGGUCGAGUCCAUGGUGAUGUUGCCACGGUUUCUCCUCCCCGGUGCUCCUAGAUCCAACAAUAGCUCACUAGAGGCAAGGCGGUGGUUCUUGAUCUCCUCGCCUCCUUCGCCUUGCAGGCUCGGCAGCAAGCACAUGAAGACUCAUGAGCAAGAUGCACUAUAACUGGAGGCAAAAGGGAAUAACUUUUCUUUGAUGUGCAAUCAGAUAACAAACCCAAUGCAAGCUUUGGUAGUGAUGCUUAUUUAGCAGGGACCACUUCAGACCAUACUCGGGGCUCUCUGUUCAUGUACUAGAAAAGGAUCGUGUCAUGUUAAGUUAUAUAUGUAUGUCUCUUGUGUACUCAAAUUAGGAUGGAUGUCAUGCACUCAAAUAUUUCUACCUAUGCUGAUCCAUUUGGACAUGUAUUCAAAAUUUGUGCUUGACAUGUACUCGUA